GCGUGCGCAGGCGGUUUUGUAAGACUGUACGUCGAAAUACCCCGGGCUCAACCUGGGAAUGGCGAUGGUGACUGCAAGGCUAGAGUUUGGCAGAGGGGGGUAGAAUUCCACGUGUAGCAGUGAAAUGCGUAGAUAUGUGGAGGAACACCGAUGGCGAAGGCAGCCCCCUGGGUCAAAACUGACGCUCAUGCACGAAAGCGUGGGGAGCAAACAGGAUUAGAUACCCCAGU
rnacentral:rRNA from 1 species